GCAGUAAUGAAAGUAGGACGCAAAUUCGGUUGGAUAACCCCUACAUAAGGCUUCAAUUGAAGUGGAGACCUUCUUUUCACUAAUUUUCUCAUACUUCUGUUUCUUCGUUCCCGCUUUUAGUCCUUGCCAAGGAAGACUUCCUCUUAGGAAGUACAUAAGAACAUAACCCAAUGAUUCUAAAUCAUCCCUCCGGCUUUGCUCAAUUCCCAGGUGCGUGUUCAUACUUGCAUAUCUAGCAGUUCCAGUCAAAUUUUUAUUUUCCCUGUAAGGUAUGUGUUGAUGGGUUGAACUAUCUCUAUAUUUCUUCGCCAAACCAAAGUCAAUCAUGUAUACCUGAUUAGCACGCCUUCCCAAGCCCAUGAGAAAAUUGUCUGGCUUGAUAUCUCGAUGAAGAAACGAUUUUGAAUGAACAAACUCAACACGAUUGAUCAUCUGAUCAGCAAGCAUAAGAACCGACUUCAAAGA
rnacentral:misc_RNA from 1 species